CCUACGGGAGGCAGCAGUGAGGAAUAUUGGUCAAUGGACGGAAGUCUGAACCAGCCAUGCCGCGUGCAGGAAGACGGCUCUAUGAGUUGUAAACUGCUUUUGUACAAGGGUAAACCUGAAUACGUGUAUUCAGCUGAAAGUACUGUACGAAUAAGGAUCGGCUAACUCCGUGCCAGCAGCCGCGGUAAUACGGAGGAUCCAAGCGUUAUCCGGAUUUAUUGGGUUUAAAGGGUGCGUAGGUGGAUUGAUAAGUUAGAGGGGAAAUGUCCGAGCUUAACUCGGGAACUGCCUCUAAUACGGUUGAUCUAGAGAGUAGAUGCGGUAGGCGGAAUGUAUGGUGUAGCGGUGAAAUGCUUAGAGAUCAUACAGAACACCGAUUGCGAAGGCAGCUUACCAAUCUAUAUCUGACGUUGAGGCACGAAAGCGUGGGGAGCAAACAGGAUUAGAUACCCUGGUAGUC
rnacentral:rRNA from 1 species